rnacentral:sRNA from 1 species
UGAUAUUAUACGUACGAGGUGUCGAUC